rnacentral:tRNA from 1 species
GCCCUUGUGGUGUAGUAGUGAGCACGCUCGGCGCGUAUUCGAAAGGUCCGUGGUUCGAAUCCCGGUGGGGGCA